AGGUUUAUGAGCGAGGAACCAACGUGGAGCAGUUUGUGACCCGUUUCCUCCUGAAGGAAUCAGCCAAUCAGAUCCAGUCUCUCCUGAACUCUGUGGAGAGUGCCGUGGAUGCAAUUGACGAACAGCACAGCCAAUCAGGGCAUCUACCUGCCAAGGUGAGUCCACGAAUGUCAGAGAAGCGCUAUGAAAACACUGUCCCUGACUACCCCCCUAACAACAGAGUCAGCGCCAGGGAGGCUGUCAGGACCAUCAACACUGCUUCAGGUGCUGUGGAGGUGAGAAAAGAGGGUCUGGAGGCUCAGAUCAACCGCCUGGCUGAAUUAAUCGGUCGACUGGAGAAUAAG